UACGUGGGGUGCAAGCGUUGUUCGGAAUUACUGGGCGUAAAGCGCGUGUAGGCGGUUUGUUAUGUCAGGUGUGAAAUCCCUCGGCCCAACUGAGGAAGUGCGCCUGAAACUGGCAGACUUGAGUACGAGAGAGGAGGACGGAAUUCCCAGUGUAGAGGUGAAAUUCGUAGAUAUUGGGAGGAACACCGGCGGCGAAAGCGGUCCUCUGGAUCGAUACUGACGCUAAGACGCGAAAGCGUGGGGAGCAAACAGG
rnacentral:rRNA from 1 species